UGGGGAAUAUUGCACAAUGGGCGCAAGCCUGAUGCAGCCAUGCCGCGUGUGUGAAGAAGGCCUUCGGGUUGUAAAGCACUUUCAGCGAGGAGGAAGGUGGUGAGCUUAAUACGCUCAUCAAUUGACGUUACUCGCAGAAGAAGCACCGGCUAACUCCGUGCCAGCAGCCGCGGUAAUACGGAGGGUGCAAGCGUUAAUCGGAAUUACUGGGCGUAAAGCGCACGCAGGCGGUUUGUUAAGUCAGAUGUGAAAUCCCCGGGCUCAACCUGGGAACUGCAUUUGAAACUGGCAAGCUAGAGUCUCGUAGAGGGGGGUAGAAUUCCAGGUGUAGCGGUGAAAUGCGUAGAGAUCUGGAGGAAUACCGGUGGCGAAGGCGGCCCCCCUGGACGAAGACUGACGCUCAGGUGCGAAAGCGUGGGGCAGCAAACAGGAUUAGAUACCCUGGUAGUCCACGCUGUAAACGAUGUCGAUUUUGGAGGUUGUGCCCCUUGAGGCGUGG
rnacentral:rRNA from 1 species